CGAGCGGCGAACGGGUGAGUAACGCGUGGAUAACCUGCCCUGAGGUGGGGGAGUAACCAAGGGAAAACUUUGGCUAAUACCGCAUGAUACCGAGAGGUCAAAGGGGGCUCGCAAGGGCUCUCGCCAUAGGAGGGGUCCGCGUACGAUUAGCUAGUUGGUAGGGUAAUGGCCUACCAAGGCGACGAUCGUUAGCCGGCCUGAGAGGGUGAUCGGCCACACUGGAACUGAGACACGGUCCAG
rnacentral:rRNA from 1 species